rnacentral:lncRNA from 1 species
UAUCCUUUCCUUCAAGAUGUUCCCGAUAGCUGGUUCCGGACGUCAAGAGAGGCGACGGUAGCUGAUUGGUAGCCGGAGUCUCCGAGGUCUUCCUUCCCUUCCAUAGAUUGACAACGUCGUUCUUCGUCUCAUGUGACAUCCUUCCUCCAAUAGAUGUCAAAAAGCCCCUCCUUCUAGCGCCAAUUGUUAACGGAGGAAUCUGGUGAUAACAAGAUUCGGGGAGGGUUGCUGGAACUUGUGGUGGACGAUGACGGCGGACGACGGAGUAUGGGUGGUGAUUUUGGUUUUGGCUGAGAUCGUUUGGGGGAUUAGGGUUUUCUCACAAGAUCGAAGGAGUAUUCGCUCUUGCAAGGGUUGCGACCUCCCCCCAAACAAUGUGCCUACGUACCCUAUUUAUAGGGAUCAAGCCAGACG